CUUGGGUGACGAGUGGCGGACGGGUGAGUAAUGUCUGGGGAUCUGCCCGAUAGAGGGGGAUAACCACUGGAAACGGUGGCUAAUACCGCAUAACGUCGCAAGACCAAAGAGGGGGACCUUCGGGCCUCUCACUAUCGGAUGAACCCAGAUGGGAUUAGCUAGUAGGCGGGGUAAUGGCCCACCUAGGCGACGAUCCCUAGCUGGUCUGAGAGGAUGACCAGCCACACUGGAACUGAGACACGGUCCAGACUCCUACGGGAGGCAGCAGUGGGGAAUAUUGCACAAUGGGCGCAAGCCUGAUGCAGCCAUGCCGCGUGUAUGAAGAAGGCCUUCGGGUUGUAAAGUACUUUCAGCGGGGAGGAAGGCGAUGCGGUUAAUAACCGCGUCGAUUGACGUUACCCGCAGAAGAAGCACCGGCUAACUCCGUGCCAGCAGCCGCGGUAAUACGGAGGGUGCAAGCGUUAAUCGGAAUUACUGGGCGUAAAGCGCACGCAGGCGGUCUGUUAAGUCAGAUGUGAAAUCCCCGGGCUUAACCUGGGAACUGCAUUUGAAACUGGCAGGCUUGAGUCUUGUAGAGGGGGGUAGAAUUCCAGGUGUAGCGGUGAAAUGCGUAGAGAUCUGGAGGAAUACCGGUGGCGAAGGCGGCCCCCUGGACAAAGACUGACGCUC
rnacentral:rRNA from 2 species